rnacentral:rRNA from 1 species
UACGAGGGGGGCGAGCGUUGUUCGGAAUUAUUGGGCGUAAAGGGUGCGUAGGCGGUUUGGUAAGUCUCUUGUGAAAUCUAUGGGCUCAACUCAUAGUCUGCAAGGGAAACUGCCGGGCUUGAGUGUGGGAGAGGUGAGUGGAAUUUCCGGUAUAGCGGUGAAAUGCGUAGAUAUCGGAAGGAACACCUGUGGCGAAAGCGGCUCACUGGACCACAACUGACGCUGAUGCACGAAAGCUAGGGGAGCAAACGGG